ACUAAACGCUGGCGGCGUGCCUAACACAUGCAAGUCGUACGAGAAAGCCGGCUUCGGCUGGUGAGUAAAGUGGCGCACGGGUGAGUAACGCGUGGAUAAUCUGCCCUUAAGUGUGGAAUAACGUACCGAAAGGUGCGCUAAUACCGCAUAAUGCCUGGCAACACAAGUUGUCCGGCCAAAGAAGGCCUCUGUUUACAAGCUUUCGCUUCAGGAUGAGUCCGCGUACCAUUAGCUUGUUGGUGGGGUAAUGGCCUACCAAGGCUGCGAUGGUUAGCUGGUCUGAGAGGAUGAUCAGCCACACUGGAACUGAGACACGGUCCAGACUCCUACGGGAGGCAGCAGUGAGGAAUAUUGCGCAAUGGGGGCAACCCUGACGCAGCAACGCCGCGUGAGUGAGGAAGGUUUUCGGACUGUAAAGCUCUGUCGAGCGGGGAAGAAGUGUACCAUGGCUAAUAUCCAUGAUAUUUGACGGUACCGCUAGAGG
rnacentral:rRNA from 1 species